UGCUAAGGUAGCAUAAUAACCUGCCUCCUAAUUAGAGGAUAGAAUGAAAGGAAUAACGCCUCAUCAAUUUUCUAAAAAUUACAACACUAAUCUUAUCUAAAAGUAAAAAAGCUUUUAUAAUAUAGAAGGACAACAAGACCCUGACGAGCUAAAAUCAUAUUUGGCUGGGGCAGCCCAUAAACGACAACUUAAUAAACACCAUAAUACAGACCCAACAUUAUUGACAAAAAAUCAAGCUACCGCAGGGAUAACAGCAACACUAACCUCUAGAGUUCAUAUCUAAAGGUUAUCCUUUGACCUCGAUGUUGAAUUAAUGAUACUCUAUCUUAGAAAAAAAAGUACAAGUAGGUCUGUUCGACCUUUAAAUCAUUACAUGAUUUGAGUUCAGACCGGCGCAAGCCAGGUCAGAUUAUAUCCUCUAAUCAAACAAGUGUUAGUACGAAAGGACCACACAAUUAAUAGUA
rnacentral:rRNA from 1 species